rfam:Streptomyces acidiscabies strain NCPPB 4445 genomic scaffold scf_64481_235.1, whole genome shotgun sequence.
UUUGACCGAUCCCAGCCACAGCGGGCGAUCUUCCGGCCGGUCCUGUCCGUAGGUCGCCAACAGGGCUUGGGCCUC